AGUCGUAACAAGGUUUCCGUAGGUGAACCUGCGGAAGGAUCAUUAAAGAGUAAGGGUGCUCAGCGCCCGACCUCCAACCCUUUGUUGUUAAAACUACCUUGUUGCUUUGGCGGGACCGCUCGGUCUCGAGCCGCUGGGGAUUCGUCCCAGGCGAGCGCCCGCCAGAGUUAAACCAAACUCUUGUUAUUAAACCGGUCGUCUGAGUUAAAAUUUUGAAUAAAUCAAAACUUUCAACAACGGAUCUCUUGGUUCUCGCAUCGAUGAAGAACGCAGCGAAAUGCGAUAAGUAAUGUGAAUUGCAGAAUUCAGUGAAUCAUCGAAUCUUUGAACGCACAUUGCGCCCCUUGGUAUUCCGAGGGGCAUGCCUGUUCGAGCGUCAUUACACCACUCAAGCUAUGCUUGGUAUUGGGUGCCGUCCUUAGUUGGGCGCGCCUUAAAGACCUCGGCGAGGCCUCACCGGCUUUAGGCGUAGUAGAAUUUAUUCGAACGUCUGUCAAAGGAGAGGACUUCUGCCGACUGAAACCUUUUAUUUUUCUAGGUUGACCUCGGAUCAGGUAGGGAUACCCGCUGAACUUAAGCAUAUCUAAAAGUCG
rnacentral:rRNA from 1 species